CGGCGAGUGAAGCGGCAAGAGCUCAGAUUUGAAAUCGUGCGCGGUUAGGGCACGAGUUGUAAAUUGCAGGUUGGAGUCUUUGUGGAGGCGUGUGUCUAAGUCCCUUGGAACAGGGCGCCAUUGAGGGUGAGAGCCCCGUGAGACGCGCGCGGAAGCGUUAAGACCCUUCUGACGAGUCGAGUUGUUUGGGAAUGCAGCUCUAAGUGGGUGGUAAAUUCCAUCUAAGGCUAAAUAUUGGCGAGAGACCGAUAGCGAACAAGUACUGUGAAGGAAAGAUGAAAAGCACUUUGAAAAGAGAGUGAAACAGCACGUGAAAUUGUUGAAAGGGAAGGGUAUUGGGCCCGACAUGGGAUUUGCGCACCGCUGCUCCUUGUGGGCGGCGCUCUGGGCUUUUCCUGGGCCAGCAUCGGUUUCCGCUGCAGGAGAAGGGGUGCCGGAAUGUGGCUCUUCGGAGUGUUAUAGCCGGUGCCAGAUGCUGCGUGUGGGGACCGAGGACUGCGGCUUCUGUCUCGGAUGCUGGCACAACGGCGCAAUACCGCCCGUCUUGA
rnacentral:rRNA from 1 species